ensembl:snRNA U7 U7 small nuclear RNA
AAAUUUUGCUCUUUUAGUAUUUGUCUAGUAGGCUUCUCUAAAGAGAAGCCCCC